GACGAACGCUGGCGGCGUGCUUAACACAUGCAAGUCGAACGGAAAGGCCCUGCUUUUGUGGGGUGCUCGAGUGGCGAACGGGUGAGUAAAACGUGAGUAACCUGCCCUUGACUUUGGGAUAACUUCAGGAAACUGGGGCUAAUACCGGAUAGGAGCUCCUGCUGCAUGGUGGGGGUUGGAAAGUUUCGGCGGUUGGGGAUGGACUCGCGGCUUAUCAGCUUGUUGGUGGGGUAGUGGCUUACCAAGGCUUUGACGGGUAGCCGGCCUGAGAGGGUGACCGGCCACAUUGGGACUGAGAUACGGCCCAGACUGCUACGGGAGGCAGCAGUGGGGAAUAUUGCACAAUGGGCGGAAGCCUGAUGCAGCAACGCCGCGUGCGUGAUGACGGCCUUCGGGUUGUAAACCGCUUUCGCCUGUGACGAAGCGUGAGUGACGGUAAUGAGUAAAGAAGCACCGGCUAACUACGUG
rnacentral:rRNA from 1 species